GAGUGUACCGGCGGCCCGUACCCUAAACCGACUCAGGUGGUCAGGUAGAGAAUACCAAGGCGAUCGGGUGAACUGUGGUUAAGGAACUCGGCAAAUUGCCCCCGUAACUUUGGGAGAAGGGGGGCCUUGCCCGGUGAUGGGAUUUACUCCUUGAGCUGGGUGGGGUCGCAGAGGCCAGGGGGAAGCGACUGUUUACUAAAAACACAGGUCCGUGCUAAGUCGUAAGACGCUGUAUACGGACUGACGCCUGCCCGGUGCCGGAACGUUAAGAGGACCGGUUAGACCUCUUCGGGGGUCGAGGCUGAGAAUCUAAGCGCCGGUAAACGGCGGUGGUAACUAUAACCAUCCUAAGGUAGCGAAAUUCCUUGUCGGGUAAGUUCCGACCUGCACGAAUGGCGUAACGACUUCCCCGCUGUCU
rnacentral:rRNA from 1 species